UGAAGGAUGUAAGCGCAUGUACCGCUUAGGCGGUGGACGAGGAAUGAGGUUAUCGAUCAGUCAGCGGAUGCCUCACGGCCGGCUGCAGGCCGCAAACCGUGUACAAAGUCCUCCGGUAACGGGGGAGAGAAAAGCACGGUGGCAGAAAGGG
rfam:Phascolarctobacterium sp. YIT 12067 genomic scaffold Scfld139, whole genome shotgun sequence.